rnacentral:rRNA from 1 species
UAGCAUGGAAUAAUAGAAUAGGACGUGUGGUUCUAUUUUGUUGGUUUCUAGGACCGCCGUAAUGAUUAAUAGGGACAGUCGGGGGCAUCAGUAUUCAAUAGUCAGAGGUGAAAUUCUUGGAUCUAUUGAAGACUAACUACUGCGAAAGCAUUUGCCAAGGAUGUUUUCAUUAAUCAGGAACGAAAGUUAGGGGAUCGAAGACGAUCAGAUACCGUCGUAGUCUUAACCAUAAACUAUGCCGACUAGGGAUCGGACGAUGUUAUUUUUUGACUCGUUCGGCACCUUACACGAAAGUACAAGUUUCUGGGUUCUGGGGGGAGUAUGGUCGCAAGGCUGAAACUUAAAGAAAUUGACGGAAGGGCACCACCAGGGGUGGAGCCUGCG